AUGGCAGGUGAAGAAAACGAGUAUGACGUUGAAGGAAAUGGGCAUCUCAAUCAGCCCGUCACACGGUUUCACUUCAACGCAUUACGUGAUCAUCUACGCCGAGAGUUCAGAAACAGCCUUGACCCAAUUGAAGAGAAGCAAGAAAAGUUGUCGAGAGAUUUGCAGCAACUUAUGGGUAAUGUUGAUGAGCAACUCACUCAGAACAUGGCAGCCAUGAGGACUGGUAUUGUUGCUGAUAUUGUGCGAGAGCUUCUUCAGAACCGAGAAGAUGCAAGUGUCCAUGGUGAAGAACAAAAUGUAACUGAUGGGGAAGGUGCUGCCUCCAAUGCACAAGCUAGAAGAAACCAUGCUCCUGCUCCCCAUGCCAUGAGACCUCCCGGUCCCGGACGUGAAUGGAUGUGGUCAUCAUGA
rnacentral:rRNA from 1 species